CAAGGAAAAGAAGAAACGGAAAAGAAGAAACGGAAUAGAAGAAACAGAACCUCCUCGGAUUUUUGUUUUCUUGCGUUUUUUUUUUUUUUUUUUUUUUU
rnacentral:ribozyme from 1 species